GAUUAACGCUGGCGGCGCACAUAAGACAUGCAAGUCGAACGGAAGUCGUUAUAACUCAGAACGAAGAUUUAUCUGAGGGACGAGAUAUAACAAUGGCUUUAGUGGCGGACUGGUGAGUAACACGUAAGAAACCUGCCUAUUAGAGGGGAAUAACAACGAGAAAUCGUUGCUAAUACCGCAUAAGCUAGUAGUACCGCAUGGUACAGCUAGAAAAGGAGAAAUCCGCUAAUAGAUGGUCUUGCGUCCGAUUAGCUAAUUGGUGGGGUAACGGCCUACCAAGGCAACGAUCGGUAGCCGAGCUGAGAGGCUCAACGGCCACAUUGGGACUGAGAUACGGCCCAGACUCCUACGGGAGGCAGCAGUCGGGAAUAUUGCGCAAUGGAGGAAACUCUGACGCAGUGACGCCGCGUAUAGGAAGAAGGUUUUCGGAUUGUAAACUAUUUUAGACAGGGAAGAAAUUGACAGUACCUGUAGAAUAAGCUC
rnacentral:rRNA from 1 species